AAAUGUUGAUUUCUUUCAAAACAUGAAGAAUAUAAUACUAGGAACCUUCGUUCUCUCAAGAAAACUCUGAUCUCUGCCUCUUCUUCUGCAGUGUUCCCUGUGCACAGAAGAUCUUUCCCAGGUUGCUCUGUGAAGUUAAGAGGCAAUCUUAUUCCAUAUCAAGACCUGAUGACAGGAUCUUAAAGCAACCAGCCUAUACAAAUGUGUCUAAGUGUAGCCCAGGAAGAGACAUCAGACUACCAAGAAAAACAGCAAACAAAGGGUAUUUACAUGAACAAGGACAGAACAAAAACCCAAGGGGAGGGAACAAUGACAUGGAAGUAGGCUUGAAAACAGCAAAGCUUUUGAUGGAGUUAGGAAGCUCAGACAGACAUCUGCAGCCUUCAGCAUGCCAAAAGCUACCUUCCUACCUACAGCUGCAUUUGUGCCCCUCUCUGCAUUCCUGCUGAGGGCUGGGGCACACGCUGUCGCAUAGGCUUCUGGAAAGGGAGAAAGAGGUGAGAAACUGUGCUCAGCAGGAAGCUGUGACCAGCGUAAUCACUGCGGCAGAUGGAAGGGUGUCUCCAAAAUGGGAUCAAAGAGAGAAUGAGAGAAUUCCUGUCAUGGCAACCAUUACCACAGGAAGCCUGGACGGCUGAGAUGGCAGAGUAUUUUGAAACCACAAUAGGAAAGAGAUGCAGCUUUUGACAUUGAUGCCCAUCUCCGGGUGCUCAU